rnacentral:rRNA from 1 species
AGAGUUUGAUCCUGGCUCAGGACGAACGCUGGCGGCGCGCCUAACACAUGCAAGUCGAACGAGAGAUGAGGAGCUUGCUCUUCAAAUCGAGUGGCGAACGGGUGAGUAACGCGUGAGGAACCUGCCUCAAAGAGGGGGACAACAGUUGGAAACGACUGCUAAUACCGCAUAAGCCCACGGCUCGGCAUCGGGCAGAGGGAAAAGGAGUGAUCCGCUUUGAGAUGGCCUCGCGUCCGAUUAGCUAGUUGGUGAGGUAACGGCCACAAGGCGACGAUCGGUAGCCGGACUGAGAGGUUGAACGGCCACAUUGGGACUGAGACACGGCCCAGACUCUACGGGAGGCA